rnacentral:rRNA from 1 species
UGGGGAAUAUUGGACAAUGGGGGCAACCCUGAUCCAGCCAUGCCGCGUGCGUGAAGAAGGCCUUAGGGUUGUAAAGCGCUUUCGGCGGGGAAGAUGAUGACGGUACCCGCAGAAGAAGCCCCGGCUCACUCCGUGCCAGCAGCCGCGGUAAUACGGAGGGGGCAAGCGUUGUACGGAAUUACUGGGCGAAAAGGGCGCGUAGGCGGAACGGCAAGUCAGGCGUGAAUGGCCCGGGCUCAACCUGGGAACUGCCUUUGAAACUGCCGAUCUAGAGUCCGGAAGAGGAUGGCGGAAUUCCCAGUGUAGAGGUGAAAUUCGUAGGUAUUGGGAAGAACACCAGUGGCGAAGGCGGCCAUCUGGUCCGGUACUGACGCUGAGGCGCGAAAGCGUGGGGAGCAAACAGGAUUAGAUACCCGGGUAGUCC